rnacentral:rRNA from 1 species
ACCGUGUACGUACAAGCAGUGGGAGCACGCUUAGGCGUGUGACUGCGUACCUUUUGUAUAAUGGGUCAGCGACUUAUAUUCUGUAGCAAGGUUAACCGAAUAGGGGAGCCGAAGGGAAACCGAGUCUUAACUGGGCGUUAAGUUGCAGGGUAUAGACCCGAAACCCGGUGAUCUAGCCAUGGGCAGGUUGAAGGUUGGGUAACACUAACUGGAGGACCGAACCGACUAAUGUUGAAAAAUUAGCGGAUGACUUGUGGCUGGGGGUGAAAGGCCAAUCAAACCGGGAGAUAGCUGGUUCUCCCCGAAAGCUAUUUAGGUAGCGCCUCGUGAAUUCAUCUCCGGGGGUAGAGCACUGUUUCGGCAAGGGGGUCAUCCCGACUUACCAACCCGAUGCAAACUGCGAAUACCGGAGAAUGUUAUCACGGGAGACACACGGCGGGUGCUAA